CGUGGAGACAGGUGGUGCAUGGCUGUCGUCAGCUCGUGUCGUGAGAUGCUGGGUUAAGUCCCGCAACGAGCGCAACCCUCACCCCUAGUUGCCACCGGGUAAAGCCGAGCACUCGAGGGGAACUGCCAGCGUCAAGCUGGAGGAAGGCGGGGAUGACGUCAAGUCAUCAUGCCCCUUACGCCCUGGGCUACACACGUGCUACAAUGGCCGGUACAAAGGGACGCGAGACUGCAAGGUGGAGCUAAUCCCAAGAAACUGGUCUAAGUUCAGAUUGCAGUCUGCAACUCGACUGCAUGAAGGAGGAAUCGCUAGUAAUCGCGCAUCAGCACGGCGCGGUGAAUACGUUCCCGGGCCUUGUACACACCGCCCGUCACACCACGAAAGCUGUCUGUACUCGAAGUCGCUGAG
rnacentral:rRNA from 1 species